UUCUUCUUCUUGAAAAAUUCUCUCUUCUCUUUCUUCUUUUUUAUUCUUCUCUCUUCUCUAUCUUCUUUCUUCUUACUUCUUCUUCUUUCUUUCCUCGUCUCUUCUGUCUCUCUUCUUCUUCUUGAAAAAUAGCAACUUGUAAAGUGCUUCUCCCUGGUCUCUUCCCAGAAUCUGAAUCAAACUCGGCCAUGGAUCUCUCUUUUACUUCAAGUUUCUUUUCUUGCUUUUGUUGAUUUUAUUUACUGGGAAGAAAAAUCUGGUUUUGGGUGUAGUUGGUGUUGAAUAAAGUCUAAAACUUUUGUUUGAUUUUAGCAGAGGCUGCUUCUUCCUUCACCACAAUCACUCUUCCAUCACCGUGUGUGGUAUGGAGACUGGAGAGACUCAUAACCAUGUGGGUCCAAAAAUUCUCAGGAGAAAACAGAAGAGAAGGGAUCGGUGAUGUAUUGGUGACUACAAACCAAUGUCAAACUCGGUUACAAACCCAACCGUACCGAACCGACCGAUUAAAUCGGUAUACCGACUUCUCGGUAUACCGGAUUUUAUGGCCGGUAGUGGUAUAGUUUUUUGCAUACCAGUAUGAGUUGGUACGGUACAUGGUAUCGGCCCGUAAGCUUCGGUACCGAACCGAACCCAGCCCUAGUAAUAACCCAGAAAUUCAUUAUUAAUUCCUAAAUUCUUUGGGAGUUAUUAAAGUGUUCGAUAACACGAUUUCGUGGUUCAAAGGUGGAGCGGAAAUUAUUUCGAAUAGUUAUUCGCUCGAAAUGCUUCGUUUCAAGGGUUGACUUUUUAUACGUUAGGAUUAUGUGAAAACUUCCUUCAUAAAAGUUGUAGAGAGCAUCAAUACGAGUCCGUGGACAUGUGGAACGUGAGAAUUGGAGUUCAUAUGAAGAAGUUAUGGCCAUCGAAAAAAGUUUUCAUUUUGGGAUAUAUAGAAAAAUCCGAAAAAUAUCAUAAAAUUCCAAAGUUUCCAAAAACGGAAACUCUUUCUCUCUCUUCUCUCCCGACCCCAGUUUCGCCAGCCACCUUUGCCGGCUUCAUUCUCCGUCGUCCGACCACCAUAGGCUGAGAUUCUUGUCCCUAUCUCUUCGCCUCACUCUCAUCUACAACUCUAUGAAGUUUGACGACGUGGGUCGGCCCGUGGACGAAGCAGCAAGGCCGAGAAGUUUGGCGGCGACGCUGCAAAUCGCCUUGGUCAGAGUUCAAGUUUCCAGCCACUAUAGCCGGUGAUUUUUGGGGGCUUUUGGAGGUCAGAGGAUGUAGAAGGGUUCUCCCAAGGUACCUUGCAACGAUUCGACUCGUGGUGAUCGAAUUUUGAAGAUUGGGAAUCUAGGGUUCUUCGGGUUUGAAACAUUGCAAGGUGAUUGACGGAGACUUGUCGAUACCUCAUCUAUGUAGUAAGAGAAGACACAGCGGGAUUUUGAGGGGUUAUUGUGCAGGUCAGUGUAAUCAUCAUCGAAGCUGAGGUUUUGUUGCAGUCGUAGCUUGGACGUAGUAGGGUAUUUUGGUUCUAGUCUUCUGCUGUGUAGUGAGUGUGGAGGGUGCGUUUACUUAUUGAAUUGUUAUUCG